rnacentral:rRNA from 1 species
UACGAAGGGGGCUAGCGUUGCUCGGAAUCACUGGGCGUAAAGGGCGCGUAGGCGGAUCUUUAAGUCGGGGGUGAAAGCCCAGGGCUCAACCCUGGAAUUGCCUUCGAUACUGGAGAUCUUGAGACCGGAAGAGGUAAGUGGAACUGCGAGUGUAGAGGUGAAAUUCGUAGAUAUUCGCAAGAACACCAGUGGCGAAGGCGGCUUACUGGUCCGAUACUGACGCUGAGGUGCGAAAGCGUGGGGAGCAAACAGG